rnacentral:rRNA from 1 species
GAUGAACGCUGGCGGCGUGCCUAAUACAUGCAAGUCGAGCGAACAGACGAGGAGCUUGCUCCUCUGACGUUAGCGGCGGACGGGUGAGUAACACGUGGAUAACCUACCUAUAAGACUGGGAUAACUUCGGGAAACCGGAGCUAAUACCGGAUAAUAUAUUGAACCGCAUGGUUCAAUAGUGAAAGACGGUUUUGCUGUCACUUAUAGAUGGAUCCGCGCCGCAUUAGCUAGUUGGUAAGGUAACGGCUUACCAAGGCAACGAUGCGUAGCCGACCUGAGAGCGUCAUCGGCCACACUGGAACUGAGACACGUUCCAGACUCCUACGGGAGGAAGCAGCAGGGAAUCUUCCGCAAUGGGCGAAAGCCUGACGGAGCACCGCCGCGUGAGUGAUGAAGGUCUUCGGAUCGUAAAACUCUGUUAUUAGGGAAGAACAAAUGUGUAAGUAACUAUGCACGUCUUGACGGUACCUAAUCAGAAAGCCACGGCUAACUACGUG